UUUUGAAGCGGCAUCGUCUUCUGGGGCAAAUACCCGAGGUUCAUUGUCUCAGGCCAAGGAAAUCAAGGAUGUGGACACACAAGAAAUGCGGUCUCUACCUGGCCUCCCCCAUGUUGACUGCUUUUGUACUGCACCCAUGGAGACAAAGAAAAGACAAAGAAGACGGAACCUCCAUGUUGAAUAUACCUGGUUCCAGGGCGAGGUUCAGCAAUUACAAUAGUGACAUCAGAGAUCGCUGAUAACAGAUCAUCAUCACAGAUGUGAUAACAAGAAAAAAAUGAGAUAUUUUUAUCAUUGAUGUGAUGGCAAAUAUUGAGUAUCAACUUGAUUGAAUUGAAGGAUGCAAGGUAUUAUUCCUGGGUGUG
rnacentral:lncRNA from 1 species